rnacentral:rRNA from 1 species
UACGGAGGAUGCAAGCGUUAUCCGGAAUUAUUGGGCGUAAAGCGCACGUAGGCGGCUUAGCAAGUCGGAUGUGAAAUCCCUCGGCUCAACCAAGGAAGUGCAUCCGAAACUGCUGAGCUUGAGUACGAAAGAGGAUCGCGGAAUUCCCGGUGUAGAGGUGAAAUUCGUAGAUAUCGGGAGGAACACCAGUGGCGAAGGCGGCGAUCUGGGUCGAUACUGACGCUGAGGUGCGAAAGCGUGGGGAGCAAACAGG